rnacentral:rRNA from 1 species
CCUACGGGAGGCAGCAGUGAGGAAUAUUGGUCAAUGGACGAGAGUCUGAACCAGCCAAGUAGCGUGAAGGAUGACUGCCCUAUGGGUUGUAAACUUCUUUUAUAUGGGAAUAAAACGUUCCACGUGUGGGAUUUUGUAUGUACCAUAUGAAUAAGGAUCGGCUAACUCCGUGCCAGCAGCCGCGGUAAUACGGAGGAUCCGAGCGUUAUCCGGAUUUAUUGGGUUUAAAGGGAGCGUAGGUGGAUUGUUAAGUGAGUUGUGAAAGUUUGCGGCUCAACCGUAAAAUUGCAGUUGAAACUGGCAGUCUUGAGUACAGUAGAGGUGGGCGGAAUUCGUGGUGUAGCGGUGAAAUGCUUAGAUAUCACGAAGAACUCCGAUUGCGAAGGCAGUUCACUGGACUGCAACUGACACUGAGGCUCGAAAGUGUGGGUAUCAAACAGGAUUAGAUACCCCUGUAGUC